UCCUGAUUUAAUGUCUAAACUAGGUUGAAAUCGUCUGCAAUUCCGAUCUCGUAUCCGUCUAAACCCCGACUCCAUUCUCUGCUAAUGUCAGCGUGGUUUUCAGUCAGCAGUAACACCUAUUGUCAGAGGAGCCUUGCGGAACUCGUGAAGAAUUGUGAAUGCCCUACUUUCUUCCUUAGGCUUUGGCGUUCGUUCAGCGAGGAUCAGAGGAAUUGGGGAAAUGGAAACGGUGGCUUCUGCAAGUUUCAGCUUGACGAGUUUGUAUUGAAUUUCCUCGACUGGGCGAUCUCUGCGUCACCAUAUAUCAGAAAGUCCACUACUGUCUCUGCAGCUUUUAAUUUGAAAGCGUAUUAUUUUCUGACAACAUGGUGUUACUGGAAGUCAAUAACAAUGGGCCACUGGAACAGGCAAAGUUUGAAGUUGGUGAUGAUCUUGAUGAUGCGGCUUUUGAGGAUGAAAGGUGUGUGCUGUGCAUGGAUAUUAUUGUCGAUAGAGGAGUUCUUGAUUGUUGUCAGCAUUGACUAUAUGAUGGACUUUACAGUGGAGAGAAAUUCAUUAUCAUUUCCACUAAUUUAUUUAUCUGGCAUGGAUCGAACUAGCCACAAGUAUAGAUAUAUACCCGGUUAUAUUUGCUUUGAAGUACAAGCCAGGUCAGAUGAUGCAGGUUCUGCACAUGAAUUUCAGGUUCUGUUUUGCAUGCAUUGACAACUGGGCUACCAUUACAGAUGUUUGUCCAUUUUGCCAGGAGGGGUUUCAAUUAAUCACAUGCAUCCCAGUGAGUGAUUCUUGAUCAUAUAUUGAACCUUUCGCCUUGCAAAAUUAAGUUUAUGAUACAAUUCAAAGCAGCAAGGUUGAUGAUGACUCAGUUCUCAGGUAUUAAUUCAUAUGUAAUUAUGUAGACAUAUCCAUGGUUGUCAGUUCUGAUUGAUCAGAAGGCUUGUAUCCAAAAAUACUUUGCAAUAAUUGAAUAUAAGAUGGUGAAAGUUUUUAUGGUUAGCAACCCACAGACUAAAUUGGUGGGUGGGAGCAUCUUUUCUCCCAUGUGGAAGAGUUAUGUGGAAAUUAUAACCGUUGGAUAUCUAGGAAAUGGUCUAAACGGCCACGUGUCAAAUCCUUUGGAUCGAGGAUAUUGACAGCCCAAAAACUGGUGUUGUUGAUGUUAAUCAGAUAGUUAAAAACGGUGGACCCUUGACUGAAACCCCACUUUUAAGUAAUUCAUACCUUAUGAGUGAUAAUGUAGGGCGUCAUGAAGUAACUGAUGAUGGUCAAGUCCAAGGGAAUCAUUUGCAGCAUGCUAAAACUGGAAGUUGAAGCCAGAUAGCAUAAGGAGUCAAACAGAUCAAUGCAUUUCAUGAUUUCAAACACCUCUUGAUAGAUAGGCAGCCAUCAUAGGGUAGCACAUGCCUCGAAGUUGGUGCAUGCAGAACUACACUAGUUGUUGUGAUGCAGAUUAAUUACCAAAAUAUGCUUGUUUUAUUAGGAAUAAGCCUAGGGUUUCAUACAUGUUAGGCCUUUGAUCCCAUGUGUUUUGA